CAGAGGGAAGGACUGGCAGCACGCAUAGGAAGAUUUCAGAGGGAAGAAGGAAGAAGGAGUGACCGGGGCAAAAGAGGAUUUUUAUAUGAGAAAUCGUCUUCAGAGGUGAGAGGGAAGAUAGCUGGAAGCCAAGCCAUUGCGGCCAAGACUGCCCAGAAUUUAAAAUCCAUUGGGUCUGGAGGAGAGGCACAGAGGAGAGGGGACUUUCAGCAUGCAUUAAGAACGAAGUGGAAUUAGAAAAGAGAAGCAAUCUCUGCUUCUUCAGAAAAGUUCUAAGGGAGACGUGCAUCACUAAUUAAUUACGUUAGAGAGGAGCUUUUGAAUACUGCUGAAACCUGAGACUUAGAACCCAAAUUCGGAAGCGGCAAGCUGGCUUGAUGACUCUAAUGAGAAUUUUGUUUCAUAGGAAAAAUGACUUGAUAGCGAUUGAAUAUGGAUUGAUGGGGAAUGGAUACUUCAAUGCGUCCUACAGUGGAUUACAAGUUUGGUUCCCUUUAGGGAAGGCAUGUCCAAGACAGGGGAGGGCAAAGUUUUGUGUUCGUGACAUCCCAGGAGCAGUCAGGGUGGCUAAGACCUUGUCGAUGGAUCUCAGUUGUUGUUCUGAACAAUCUGAAUUCAAGCCUGUCGAAUUUAAGCAGUGCUUUUGAGAGUUAUGGGACUGUGGAAUAACUACAGCUGAUCCAGCUUAUUUCACGACCUUUUACUCUAGCGUCAACCUGAAUCCAAGGCUUCCUCCACCUCUCAUUUAGUGGGAGAAUCAAUGCCUGUUCCCUAUCCACUUACAAAGAGGAGUCUGACGACGAUAGGCCAUCCCGGAAAACCUCAGAUGAUUGGCCAGAAAGCAACAGUGCAGCUAUGCCUAGACAGAGGACAGUUUCUUCAGCAGAUCGUCAUAAAAGUUCAGUUGAUCUGAUACAAGAGGACUUCCCCCGCACCUCAUCACCUAUAUAUAAUUAGUUUCCUUCCUCAAGCUAUGCAGCAAUGGAUGAACUAUUUAAUCGCAUUACCUCCACAUAAAGAUCUCUCAGGGAAUGAACCACUCUUAUAAUGACAUGGAAAAACUUCCCCAUGCACUCUCCAAGUUCCCUUCAGUUGAAGUACAAUCUAUGAUGCAGUCUCCUAGGCUCACCCCUCCUCAGUAUGCAACAGCAGCAACGUAUAUCGCUUCAGGAAGUCCAUUUUAUCCUAAUUUGCAGUCAGUGAUAGAUCCUCAUCCGCAACUGUUAGUCUAAUAUCAAAGGAGAAGCCUAUUAUCCUUAGUCAUGCAGGAAUUGAAGAUUGCAUUGGCCUUCCCCCAAAGCUGCAAUUCCCCCUUUCAUCACAGAACUUGAAUUUGGAUGGAACUCUCAAAUUUGGCUUUUUCUCUGUUUAUACCUUUUAAAGGUCACUCAGUACAUUGUUACAUCUAAGUCCCUUUGAGUUGGAAGAUUCUGUGGGAGCAUUAAGAUGCUUUUUUUUU